GUUCUUUAUUAUCCUCAGCUGUCACAAAUAUAUACAAUUUUGCUUAAAAAUAUAAAACACUAUUUAAAAAUGAUAAUAAUAGAGGAUCUUAAUGAAUUUGGAAACAUAGUGGAUUUACUGUCUCCGAACGAAGUAUUGACAAAUAUUCAACUAAAUGAUAUGGUUGUUGAUGUUAUUGGUUACG